rnacentral:misc_RNA from 1 species
GAUGAAGAACGCAGCGAACUGCGAUAAGUAAUGUGAAUUGCAGAAUUCAGUGAAUCAUCGAAUCUUUGAACGCACAUUGCGCCCGCUGGUAUUCCGGCGGGCAUGCCUGUUCGAGCGUCAUUUCAACCCUCAAGCCCCCGGGUUUGGUGUUGGGGAUCGGCUCUGCCCUUCUGGGCGGUGCCGCCCCCGAAAUACAUUGGCGGUCUCGCUGCAGCCUCCAUUGCGUAGUAGCUAACACCUCGCAACUGGAACGCGGCGCGGCCAUGCCGUAAAACCCCAACUUCUGAAUGUUGACCUCGGAUCAGGUAGGAAUACCCGCUGAACUUAAGCAUAUCAAUAAGCGGAGGA